rnacentral:misc_RNA from 1 species
CAAUAAGUGUUUAUGGCACUUUCAAAUCCAUACCCACCUUGUGUGCAAUGUAAGAGCCCUUUUCAACUCUCUCUCCUCUGGGAGGGAAAAGGAGGAUUGGGCUUCAUUUUCUCUCACACGUCUUCAAUUGCAAGUCUAACCUUCAGAGUAAUCAAAACUCGAAUA